GAACCGACCUGGCUCACGCCGGUUUAAACUCAGAUCAUGUAAAAUUUUAAAGGUCGAACAGACCUAAAUCUCUAGCUUCUUCACCAGGAAUUAAUUUUAAUCCAACAUCGAGGUCGCAAUCUUUAUUUUCAAUAAGAACUUUUAAAAAAAUUACGCUGUUAUCCCUAAGGUAAUUUAAUCUUAUAAUCUAAAUAAUAGGAUCAAUUAUAUACAUAUCAGUAUUCUAAUAAAAAAAAAGUUAAAUAAAUUUUUCCAUCACCCCAACAAAAUACUUACAUUUAACUUUAACUAUUCAAAUCUAAAAUUUAAAAUUAAAUAUAAAUAUAAAACUCUAUAGGGUCUUCUCGUCUUCUAUAAAAAUUUAAGCUUUUUAACUUAAAAAUAAAAUUUUAAUCAACUUACAUAGAGACAGUCAUUUUCUCAUCAAACCCUUCAUACAAGCUUUCAAUUAAAAAACUAAUGAUUAUGCUACCUUUGCACGGUCAAUAUACCGCGGCCCUUAAAUAUAUCAGUGGGCAGGCCAGACCUGAAAUUAUUGUCAACAAGCCAUGUUUUUAAUAA
rnacentral:rRNA from 1 species